rnacentral:rRNA from 1 species
UACGUAGGACCCAAGCGUUAUCCGGAAUCACUGGGCGUAAAGCGUGUGUAGGCGGUGCGUUAAGUGCAAUGCGAAAUCCCGGGGCUCAACCCUGUGGACUGUAUUGCAUACUGGCGUACUUGAGGAUGGCAGAGGCAAGUGGAAUUGGUAGUGUAGCAGUGAAAUGCGUAGAUAUUACCAGGAACACCAAUGGCGAAGGCAGCUUGCUGGCCAUAUCUGACGCUGAGACACGAAAGCGUGGGGAGCGAACAGG